rnacentral:rRNA from 1 species
UACGGGGGGUGCGAGCGUUGUCCGGAAUCACUGGGCGUAAAGGGCGCGUAGGUGGUUUGAUAAGGGUGUGGUGAAAGUCCGGGGCUCAACCCCGGAUCUGCCGUGCCGACUGUCAAACUCGAGGGCUGUAGAGGCAGACGGAAUUCCAGGUGUAGCGGUGAAAUGCGUAGAUAUCUGGAGGAAUACCGGUGGCGAAGGCGGCAUCCUGGACCGACAUUGACGCUGAGGAGCGAAAGUGUGGGGAGCGAACAGG